GCCUACGGGGGGCAGCAGUGGUGAAUAUUGCGCAAUGGGCGAAAGCCUGACGCAGCGACGCCGCGUGAGGGAUGAAGGUCUUCGGAUCGUAAACCUCUGUCCGCAGGGAAGAACGGUCACUGUGCUAAUCAGCAGUGAAUUGACGGUACCUGCAAAGGAAGCACCGGCUAACUCCGUGCCAGCAGCCGCGGUAAUACGGAGGGUGCGAGCGUUAAUCGGAAUUACUGGGCGUAAAGCGCUCGUAGGCGGUAUGUCAAGUCAAGGGUGAAAUCCCCGCGCUCAACGUGGGAACUGCCUUUGAAACU
rnacentral:rRNA from 1 species